ensembl:snRNA U6 U6 spliceosomal RNA
GUGCUCGCUUCAGCAGCAUAUAUACUAAAAGUGGAACAACAGAGAGGAUUAGUGUGACCCCUGUGUAAUUUUUAUAUGUUGAAGUAUGUAUUUUAAAAAUUUAAA